GAGUUUGAUCAUGGCUCAGGAUGAACGCUGGCGGCGUGCUUAACACAUGCAAGUCGAACGGGAUCCAUCGGGCUUUGCCUGGUGGUGAGAGUGGCGAACGGGUGAGUAAUGCGUGACCGACCUGCCCCAUGCACCGGAAUAGCUCCUGGAAACGGGUGGUAAUGCCGGAUGCUCCAUCACACCGCAUGGUGUGUUGGGAAAGCCUUUGCGGCAUGGGAUGGGGUCGCGUCCUAUCAGCUUGAUGGCGGGGUAACGGCCCACCAUGGCUUCGACGGGUAGCCGGCCUGAGAGGGCGACCGGCCACAUUGGGACUGAGAUACGGCCCAGACUCCUACGGGAGGCAGCAGUGGGGAAUAUUGCACAAUGGGCGCAAGCCUGAUGCAGCGACGCCGCGUGAGGGAUGGAGGCCUUCGGGUUGUAAACCUCUUUUAUCAGGGAGCAAGGCUUCGGUUGAGUGUACCUGUUGAAUAAGCACCGGCUAACUACGUGCCAGCAGCCGCGGUAA
rnacentral:rRNA from 1 species